UACAGGAGCCGCAAGACCCACCACUGUAGGAUGGGGAACUGAGGCACAGAAAAAGCAAGUGGCACAUUUCAAGUGCUCAGCACCCAGCAGCUCCUGUUAUGACAUGUAUGGCCAGGUUUUGGGAUGUUCUGGGAGCUCUUUGGAAAAUUUGGGCCCAGUUACGGAUGCUGAACCAUUCUGAAAAUUCUGGCCUAUGUGAUUUGUCCAAAGUCACACAGGAAGUCUUUGGCUGAGACAGGAAUGAGCUCCAGGUCUUCAGAGUCCCAGUCCAACACCACAAGAGCAUCCUGAUAUUUUCUCUGCAAUCAUUACUCUGCUGUGAAAGAAAAGGCAAAAUCCAGGAUUGGUGUUUCUGGCAGUGUAACAACUUUAAAUCCAGAAGUAAUUUUGAUCAGACACUAAGAAUCCUAUAGUUUCAAGGAUAUAAAGUUUGAAUUUUGUGAAUUCACAGUGAUAUAAACUGAAUGAGACUAAGGAAAUGCCACCAUC